rnacentral:rRNA from 1 species
UACAGAGGUCCCGAGCGUUGUUCGGAUUUAUUGGGCGUAAAGGGUGCGUAGGUGGCGCGCUAAGUCAGGUGUGAAAUUUCGGAGCUCAACUCCGAAACUGCAUUUGAUACUGGCGUGCUUGAGGACUGGAGAGGAGACUGGAAUUUACGGUGUAGCAGUGAAAUGCGUAGAGAUCGUAAGGAAGACCAGUGGCGAAGGCGGGUCUCUGGACAGUUCCUGACACUGAGGCACGAAGGCCAGGGGAGCAAACGGG